rnacentral:lncRNA from 1 species
GUCAAAUAGCACUAGAUUUGUGUUGAUAAUUAUAAAUGCAAGUCUUUGAUUUAGUAAUUGAAUAUAUGUGAUCUCUUAUAGGUAGGGUAAAAAAUUGUUGAUGAAUUGAAUCACUUGAGCUUAUAGUCCGUACACCCUCUUGAUUUUGCAGCAGACAAACUUGUUGCGAUGACCGAUGACAGUUCUUUCGGAAUGUAGUAGGUGUUUCUUGCAUAAGUACUGUGACUUUUGUGGCCAGGUUUGACACUUGUUCUAAAUGUGGCAUUUUAUAUAUUAUUAAAUACCGGUGCAAUUCAGUCUCUUAUGAGCUUUGGCUUAUGGUUAUAUGGUGGAUAUAUAAGGUGUUUUGUUGGGAUCUUGCUUUAUUUGCCUGAUGUUACUUUGCUAAAUUUUGGCACAUCAUAUGAAAGUUCUUGGAAUUGUUUUGUAAUUAUUGCAGAAUUAUCUGGAAGAUUCACAUUCUUUUAUUAGCUUGCGCUUUGGUUAUAUUACGUAGGUGCCUUUUAUUUUGGUCUGAUUCCUUGUCUCAUUUACGAAAGUGAUGUAUGCUAAUUCUUUUAAAUCAUUAUGUCAACAUUUUCUAAAUAGCUUGAACCGGAGAAUACCAUGUUUUCAAGCUCAUGAGGUGUCUUCAUUUAAAAAUGUAGUUCUCAUUAUAAAUAGCGGCACCAAUAUUUUGAAAGAUAGUUUUUUCCUUUGCUAUGAAGAUGGAGUUCCGUAUGAUUUUAUAUCAAACUAACUUUUAUUUUAAUCUAUGACUAAUAGACUCGAGUGUCUUGAUGACCCAAAGUUUUUGGAUGACGCCUGAUGUGAAAUCUAGUUGUUUUGUUGCCUUAAAAACUUAAAAGGAAUGAAUGGUUCCUAAAUUGUGCUUUGAUAACCUUAGUCCCUAAAUGUAAUUUUGCAACUAUAAGAUGAAGUAAUUUUACAGAUGCAAAGUGGAGUGUGCUUGUGUUGGAUUAGCUUACUUAUUAUGUUUCUGGCAGGUACUUUAUAUGUCCUUUGUAGGUCAAAUUGGUAUUUCGAGAAGAUCCUGAUAGGUACUAUUAGCAAAAUUAUAAAAGUAGAAUGAGAUGAGACCUUGUGAAGAAAGGCUCUAACCUCCUAUCUUGUAACAACUUAGCUCGUUUCCUUUCCCUUGAUCGGCAUAAUGAGGCUUGUGCGUGACUUGAUUCUCUAUUUGAAAGGACGAAGUUCAAGUAUCAUGGUCAGCAGGGGAAUUCAUGAGUAGAAGGUUUGUCUGAAUGGUGAACAUGAUUGAGAUUACAUGCCCUGGUUUUGUGUAUCAAAGAUUUGUUGGUUGCUGUGACGAGACUAGUUUAUAAUAUGCUUUGAAUGCUGCUUGUUUGUAAAUUGACUAAUUUACAUGAUAAUUAGACGUAUGACAUGUGGUACUUAUUGGCAUCAAUGGCAUGUAAGGUUGAUUUUGGAUUUUGGAAGGGGGUUGUAAGGAUUAGCACCUCAUAUUUUAAUUGCUUUAUGCUCUGAUAAGACUAAAUAUGAAUCAUUUCAAGAAUGACAAGUGUUGUAGAUCAUCAUAGAAGUAUAUGGAUGGUUAGUUAACAAAAC